rnacentral:sRNA from 1 species
GCCUGGGUGUGCUGGAUAGCUUCAGGGAGACCCCAGGGCUCUGGCACUGCUCAGCCUGCUGGUGUGGGGGGAUGGUUAGAAAAGAUGGGGGGUGGGUCCCAUGCGGACCCAGCCCGCCACCUCCAGGAGCACGCAGAUGGUACAGGCCAAGCGCCAGCUACCACGGCCCUCCGGACAUUCCUGGAGGCGACUCUGGAGGACAUCCGGGCAGCGCACCGCAGCCGUGAGCAGCAACUGGCCCGGGCUGCCCGCACCUACCACAAGAGGCUGGUGGAUCUCAGCCGCAGGCAUGAGGAGUUGCUGGUUGCCUACAGGGCACCUGGGAACCCCCAAGCUAUUUUUGACGCAGCCAGCUUGGACCUGGAACCAUUGCCCGUGCCCCUGGUCACUGACUUCAGCCAUCGGGAGGACCAGCAUGGGGCACUGCUCUCAUCCCCAAAGAAGGGACCCGGUGGAGCCUCCCAGGGAGGAACGUCAGAGCCACAGGGCCUGGACGCUGCAUCCUGGGCCCAGAUCCACCAGAAGCUCCGGGACUUCUUCCGCAGCACCCAGGUAGGAGGCAAGGGCUGGCCCAGGCCCCUCCUCACACCAUGCCCCAGCUCAUGGCUUACACCCCCAUGCCAGGCAGAGCUGGAACGGGAGCGGGCACAGCUGCUGGUCCGGGCCACGAUGGCUGAAGAGCAACUUUCUGAGCUACAGGAGUACGUGGACCAGCACCUGGGCAGGUACAAACACGAAAUCCUGAGGCUGAGGAAGCUGGCAGGUGCAGGGGACCCCUGGAAAGUGGGGGCUGUGCCUCCAGCCAAGCCCCAGCAUCCAAGGACCGGCAGCCACUAGGCCGUCUCCCAAGGAGCAGAGCAGAGCCCGUCACAGCCAGCACGGAGCCC